rnacentral:rRNA from 1 species
CCUACGGGUGGCAGCAGUGGGGAAUAUUGCACAAUGGGGGGAACCCUGAUGCAGCGGCGCUGCGUGGGUGAGGAAGUACUUCGGUAUGUAAAGCCCUAUCAGCAGGGAAGAAAAUGACGGUACCUGACUAAGAAGCCCCGGCUAACUACGUGCCAGCAGCCGCGGUAAUACGUAGGGGGCAAGCGUUAUCCGGAUUUACUGGGUGUAAAGGGAGCGUAGACGGCGUGCCAAGUCUGAUGUGAAAGGCCGGGGCUCAACCCCGGGACUGCAUUGGAAACUGGCAUGCUGGAGUGCCGGAGGGGCAGGCGGAAUUCCUGGUGUAGCGGUGAAAUGCGUAGAUAUCAGGAGGAACACCGGCGGCGAAGGCGGCCUGCUGGACCGCGACUGACGUUGAGGCUCGAAAGCGUGGGGAGCGAACAGGAUUAGAUACCCGUGUAGUC